AUUCCUGUGGAUCAGUAUAUGUCCGGUACUUGGGAAUAAUCACGGUCCCAGUAACCACUGGAGAACAGCCAGUCCUGAGAGCCAUUGUGUGGAUUUGGACCUUGAUGAAACCACCUGUUUUGGGGAACGAGAAAAGGUUCAGAUUCGGUGGAGCAUUCGGCUGUAACACUUAAACCAGGUGUAAAGUUUCACCCUGCUCUCGCAGUAGAAGGCCAGAGAGCUCUGUUUACAUUGUCUUAUUCCACAUUAAAAAUAGAUUGUCUAAGGGGGACAUAAAAA